rnacentral:rRNA from 1 species
AGAUUAAGUUAUUAAGGGCGCACGGUGGAUGCCUUGGCACUAGAAGCCGAUGAAGGACGUUACUAACGACGAUAUGCUUUGGGGAGCUGUAAGUAAGCUUUGAUCCAGAGAUUUCCGAAUGGGGAAACC